UACGAAGGGGGCUAGCGUUGCUCGGAAUUACUGGGCGUAAAGCGCACGUAGGCGGAUCUUUAAGUCAGGGGUGAAAUCCCAAGGCUCAACCUUGGAACUGCCUUUGAUACUGGGGAUCUCGAGUCCGGAAGAGGUUGGUGGAACUGCGAGUGUAGAGGUGAAAUUCGUAGAUAUUCGCAAGAACACCAGUGGCGAAGGCGGCCAACUGGUCCGGCACUGACGCUGAGGUGCGAAAGCGGGGGGAGCAAACAGG
rnacentral:rRNA from 1 species